rnacentral:rRNA from 1 species
GACGAACGCUGGCGGCGUGCUUAACACAUGCAAGUCGAACGGAAAGGCCCUGCUUUUGUGGGGUGCUCGAGUGGCGAACGGGUGAGUAACACGUGAGUAACCUGCCCUUGACUUUGGGAUAACUUCAGGAAACUGGGGCUAAUACCGGAUAGGAGCUCCUGCUGCAUGGUGGGGGUUGGAAAGUUUCGGCGGUUGGGGAUGGACUCGCGGCUUAUCAGCUUGUUGGUGGGGUAGUGGCUUACCAAGGCUUUGACGGGUAGCCGGCCUGAGAGGGUGACCGGCGACCUUGGGCCUGAGAUACGGCCCAGACUCCUACGGGAGGCAGCAGUGGGGAAUAUUGCACAAUGGGCGGAAGCCUGAUGCAGCAACGCCGCGUGCGGGAUGACGGCCUUCGGGUUGUAAACCGCUUUCGCCUGUGACGAAGCGUGAGUGACGGUAAUGGGUAAAGAAGCACCGGCUAACUACGUG